UUUGUCUUGCUCUCCUGCAUUUGACCGAGAAAAUCUUUCGCCUUUUACUAAAGAUUUCCGUGCAGGAGAGUAUUUAUGAUUGUUAACAUAUUUUUUGGAAGCCCUUUAAGGGGCU
rnacentral:snRNA from 10 species